UACGAGGGGGGCAAGCGUUGUUCGGAAUUAUUGGGCGUAAAGGGCGCGUAGGCGGUGCGGUAAGUCACCUGUGAAAACUCUGGGCUCAACUCAGAGCCUGCAGGCGAAACUGCCGUGCUUGAGUGUGGGAGAGGUGCGUGGAAUUCCCGGUGUAGCGGUGAAAUGCGCAGAUAUCAGGAGGAACACCUGUGGUGUAGACAGCUUACUGGACCACGACUGACGCUGAGACACGAAAGCGUGGGUAGCAAACAGG
rnacentral:rRNA from 1 species